rnacentral:rRNA from 1 species
CAGCCGCCGCGGUAAAACGAAGGGUGCAAGCGUUAAUCGGAAUUACUGGGCGUAAAGCGUGCGUAGGCGGUUCGUUAAGUCUGUUGUGAAAGCCCCGGGCUCAACCUGGGAAUGGCAAUGGAUACUGGCGAGCUAGAGUGUGUCAGAGGAUGGUGGAAUUCCCGGUGUAGCGGUGAAAUGCGUAGAGAUCGGGAGGAACAUCAGUGGCGAAGGCGGCCAUCUGGGCCAACACUGACGCUCAUGCACGAAAGCGUGGGGAGCAAACAGGAUUAGAUACCCGCGUAGUCCCUGUCUCUUAUAC